rnacentral:rRNA from 1 species
GCCCAGUGACAAAUUUCAACGGCCACGGUAUCCUAACCGCGCGAAGGUAGCAUAAUCACUUGUUCUUUAAAUGAGGACCUGUAUCAACGGCACCACGAGGGUUAUACUGUCUCCUCUUUCAAAUCAGUGAAACUAAUCUCCCCGUGAAGAAGCGGGGAUACCCCUAUAAGACGAGAAGACCCUAUGGAGCUUCAAACUCAACUACACCCCUAAUUCCUAUACCCCCUUAGCCAUACCUGGGCCCUGUUUAGUUAGUUUUAGGUUGGGGCGACCACGGAGUAAAACAAAACCUCCACAAUGAACGGGACUACCCCCUUAUCCAAGAGCCACACCCCUAAGAAUUAGAAUACUGACAUAAAAUGAUCCAUUAUUUGAUCAACGAACCAAGUUACCCUAGGGAUAACAGCGCAAUCCAUUUCAAGAGCCCUUAUCGACAAAUGGGUUUACGACCUCGAUGUUGGAUCAGGGUCCCCCAGUGGUGCAGCAGCUACUAACGGUUCGUUUGUUCAACGAUUAAAACCCUACGUGAU